GCUCAAACUUGCUGGAGACGGCCUGUUACGAAUCAAGGCCUCUCCAACUCCAAACAACAUGGCUUCACAGGCGAGAGCGAUGCAUACGAAAGAUCUGCCUGGACUGAUAAAUUCUGGGGCCGCGAAGAAAGGGAAACAUGUGCCUGUGCAGCAAGAGGCAUCUUCUACUGCAUCUAAAGCUAAAGCGCCAAGUACUGCCCCACCGCCAACGCUUAACAGCAAAAAUGGAAAGCCAGCCAACCCAGGCGGCAAGGCUCCAAAGCGGUGAAUACCGGAUUCACACAUACAUUUUAAAACUCUCAUGUGGAUUGAUAAUGAUCUGGACAUCAUUUGGCGUGCUUUGUCUAUGAAAUAAUACAUAUACCAAAGACUCUAAUAGUAUGUAAGAAGUUAAGAGGUGGAAAAGAAAUAUGGAUCGAUCUAUUGCAUGUUUGUAGUUUGUACGUCCUUGGUGGAUUUUGUCACUGUCCUAAGUUCAUGUAUUGGUAUUGUAUUGAAUUCACAUCUAUUAUUAAAUUUGGAUUGUAUUGAG